GGCGCUGUCACCGAGGCCUGGCUGAUGGCCUGGCUGGCGGCCUGGCUGGCGCCAGCUCUUGAUACCCUGGGAGUGCCGAAGAGGAUGUCCGAGGGAAAAGCGAACUUGGUGCAACUCUUGUUGAGCCGUGGAGCUGCAAAGGUCCUUGUCUCUCUGUCCUCUCUUCACCUGCAAAGACGGCCCAGAAAUGGAUUGACUUCGCAGCCAAAUGGAGAAUCAAAUGAAAUAUGAUUUCAUUGUGGGACCGUUCCAACCACUCAAUAAUUUAAAGCAUGCCACGCGAAACCGGGAGUAAAAAUAACAUGUGACUCACAUCCCGGAGCCUCGCUCUCAGCGCGCUGGGCCCGCACGGCAGGAGGGCGCAGCUGCAUGGGGCCCGAGCUCACCGCCGUCGCACGCCCACGGCUGAGUGGGCCUCUGCAGGCAGGUGAGCCCAGGGCACGUGCUGGCGUGGGGCAGCCGUGCCUCGACUCUCCGUAGCGGCUGUGUCUGCGCCCUCGGAACUCUGAGGGCUUUGAGGGCUCGGCGACGUCUGGCCACCACAGAGAAGCACAAGAUGUCUUCCUCUCACCAGCGCUUUCAGGAGCAGAGACGGGCUGCGGGCCUCGGCGCCGCUGUGAAGUCCCGCCCCCCGGCCUCGGAGACCAGCGCAGUGGGGAGUGAUGUCACAGGGCCCACGUCUGUUCGGCCUCCAGCGGUGGCCAGCGUCCAGACCCCCUCCUGCCCCGGGUCCAGCACGGGAGGUGGUGAGGGCAGCCCCUGUGACCGAGUCAGAAUCAACUCAAGUCCCUGUGGCCUUAGGCUGUAGCCCGACCGCUUUGCUUUUCUUUUUUUAGAUUUUAUUUAUUUAUUAUUAGAGGGGAAGGGAGGGAGACAGAGAGGGAGAGAAACAUCACUGUGGGGUUGCCUCUCACGUACCCCCCACU